UACAGAGGUCUCAAGCGUUGUUCGGAUUCAUUGGGCGUAAAGGGUGCGUAGGCGGCGCGGUAAGUCGGGUGUGAAAUUUCGGAGCUUAACUCCGAAACUGCAUUCGAUACUGCGGUGCUUUGAGGACUGGAGAGGAGACUGGAAUUCAUGGUGUAGCAGUGAAAUGCGUAGAGAUCAUGAGGAAUACCGGUGGCGAAAGCGACUCUCUGGACGGCAACUGACGCUGAGGCACGAAAGCGUGGGGAGCAAACAGG
rnacentral:rRNA from 1 species